GGAAGUUGCACUGGAACGUCGGAUGAUCGUUCAUCACUAAACUUGAUGAUGAGCUUAUCGAUAACGCUGAUAACUGACAGUUAGCAGAUCCGUCUAAUGUUAGUCAUUAGUCUUCGCUUUAAAGGAAAGUUUCAAUAUAUUUUUUAUUAAAGUGUUCUCCGUCGAAUUUUAAAACAAGACAUUAGGACCGUUAUGUUUGUACAGCUUAAAAUAAUAUCGUAUUUGGCUAAUAAGAUAAAAAUAACCCGUGAUCACUGCCCUUAGGUGUCGUAGCUUUAUUUACAUUAAAUGGAAUUUAAAUUUCUGAAAAAUAAAUUGAGGAAUGUUGCGGUUUUUGUAUUUGUAAUAAGUCUUACAUUUAUUUUAUACCAAAUAACGUUCGUGUCUAUGAUUGACGACUCCAGUGACUCUAUUGUAGGGAACAAUGUUCAAAAAAUAAUCUUGAAACCAAAGUUGGAAGCGAUUUUGAACUCGAAUAAAAGCUUCAAGUGUAAAACUGGCAUGGAAAUUGAUUUUUCCAAAUUCAACGAUGACUAUUGUGAUUGUGAUGAUGGAAGUGACGAACCCAGGACAAAUGCUUGUGUCGACAGCGAAUUUCUCUGCUGGCACAAGUCCAAAAUUGUUAAGAUCCCAUCAGGAUGGGUAAAUGAUGGGAUAUGUGAUUGCUGUGAUGGCUCUGAUGAGUAUGCUUCCAUAAAAUCUCCAAUUAACUUAGACCCAUCAGUUCAAAAGGCUAUAGGACAGUACAUGACCCCGUGUUCGAACCGUUGCUUAACCUAGAGCCAGUUAAAUCUAACAAAAUGUAUGACAGUUGAGCCUACAGUGCCGUUUCAACAAAGCUAGAACAGUGUUACUCAAGACAAAAUUCAAGGUUGCAGUUGUAACAAAAUAAUUGUAACUAAAUUUACACUUAAUGGAAUUGAAAUAUUGAGUAGAGCAUUUGUUCAGAUGUUAUAAUAACUGUUAAAAUUUAUUUUAAAAAAUGUCUUAUUAGUUUUUUUAGUUAUCAUUGGGGUUGUUUAAAAAAUAAAAAC